rnacentral:lncRNA from 1 species
UCCCGCCGGACCUGAGCGACCCGGUCGGGUCGGGGCGCACGCGCGGAAGCCGCGCUCGGCUCCCGGCGGUCCGCAGAGGAGCCGCACCCGAGCAGCCCGGCCCCGGCCUCGCCGCGCAGAGCCUUACCCGAAGCCUCGUCCUGCGACAGGUGGUCCUGCGGACGCAGCCCUGCCGCCCGCCCCACGAUGUUCAGCCCCGGGGCGGCUGGUCCUGCCCUCCUUACCCCCGAGCUCCCAGAAGCCCGCGCCAGCUCAGGCUCACCCUGGCGUGGACCGCCGCACAAACCUCAAGGGAGCCAGGAAAGCGGGGAGAGCCGGCGCGGCCCUGGGCGGACGGACGGGCGCGCGAACCAAUGGGAGGCAGGGACCCUGCGGGGGGCGGUGCCUCGAGCACCUUCCUCCUUUCGGUUGGUUUCCUCCUGGUUAACUGUUCGGGGGCCGCGCGCGCGCCCCGAGUGGACGCGACCCGGAGACCUCGGAGAGCCUAGCAGAGUUGGAGGACUUUAGAGGCAGGCAGCUCUGAGGAAGAACCGAGUAUUCCUUAACGCGGUCCUUCCCUCGGCGCACUCCCGGCUUUGGCUUGGGGAGGGGGGUGGCGAGGCAGGGCUGCGAGUUCGCGCGAGGGCGCGCUCUGCGCAGGCGCGAGCGGGGUGUCGGCGGGUACCAGUCUCGGAAUCCAAGGAGGUUAGAGAAACUGCUGGGAUUGGGUCCAUCCUGAAGGCCCUUGGAAGAAGGGAGAGGAUGGAGGAGAGAUUUAAGAGCUGGAUACAAGUUGUGGCUCCAGGGGCCACCACCAAAUGACAGUAAGGACACAGGAGAGAAGUACCUGCCCAGCACACCCAGGAACAUGAUGGACAAAUGCCAGACUCAUGAAAAUGCAGCAGAAGAAACAAAGAAAUGGCAACUUGGGACAGGGCGAGAUGGACAGAGAGGAGGACAGAAAGCGUGGAGGAAAUUGUGUACUAUAGCCAACAUUAAAGACUGACAUCACCACCUGA